AGAGUUUGAUCCUGGCUCAGGAUGAACGCUGGCGGCGUGCCUAAUACAUGCAAGUCGAACGCUUCACUUCGGUGAAGAGUGGCGAACGGGUGAGUAAUACAUAAGUAACCUGGCAUCUACAGGGGGAUAACUGAUGGAAACGUCAGCUAAGACCGCAUAGGUGUAGAGAUCGCAUGAACUCUAUAUGAAAAGUGCUACGGGACUGGUAGAUGAUGGACUUAUGGCGCAUUAGCUGGUUGGUAGGGUAACGGCCUACCAAGGCGACGAUGCGUAGCCGACCUGAGAGGGUGACCGGCCACACUGGGACUGAGACACGGCCCAGACUCCUACGGGAGGCAGCAGUAGGGAAUUUUCGGCAAUGGGGGAAACCCUGACCGAGCAACGCCGCGUGAAGGAAGAAGUAAUUCGUUAUGUAAACUUCUGUCAUAGAGGAAGAACGGUGGAUAUAGGGAAUGAUAUCCAAGUGACGGUACUCUAUAAGAAAGCCACGGCUAACUACGUGCCAGCAGCCGCGGUAAUACGUAGGUGGCGAGCGUUAUCCGGAAUUAUUGGGCGUAAAGAGGGAGCAGGCGGCACUAAGGGUCUGUGGUGAAAGAUCGAAGCUUAACUUCGGUAAGCCAUGGAAACCGUAGAGCUAGAGUGUGUGAGAGGAUCGUGGAAUUCCAUGUGUAGCGGUGAAAUGCGUAGAUAUAUGGAGGAACACCAGUGGCGAAGGCGACGAUCUGGCGCAUAACUGACGCUCAGUCCCGAAAGCGUGGGGAGCAAAUAGGAUUAGAUACCCUAGUAGUCCACGCCGUAAACGAUGAGUACUAAGUGUUGGGAGUCAAAUCUCAGUGCUGCAGUUAACGCAAUAAGUACUCCGCCUGAGUAGUACGUUCGCAAGAAUGAAACUCAAAGGAAUUGACGGGGGCCCGCACAAGCGGUGGAGCAUGUGGUUUAAUUCGAAGCAACGCGAAGAACCUUACCAAGUCUUGACAUCCUUCUGACCGGUACUUAACCGUACCUUCUCUUCGGAGCAGGAGUGACAGGUGGUGCAUGGUUGUCGUCAGCUCGUGUCGUGAGAUGUUGGGUUAAGUCCCGCAACGAGCGCAACCCCUGUUGCCAGUUGCCAGCAUUAAGUUGGGGACUCUGGCGAGACUGCCGGUGACAAGCCGGAGGAAGGCGGGGAUGACGUCAAAUCAUCAUGCCCCUUAUGACCUGGGCUACACACGUGCUACAAUGGACAGAGCAGAGGGAAGCGAAGCCGCGAGGUGGAGCGAAACCCAUAAAACUGUUCUCAGUUCGGACUGCAGUCUGCAACUCGACUGCACGAAGAUGGAAUCGCUAGUAAUCGCGAAUCAGCAUGUCGCGGUGAAUACGUUCUCGGGCCUUGUACACACCGCCCGUCACACCAUGAGAGUCGGUAACACCCGAAGCCGGUGGCCUAACCGCAAGGAAGGAGCUGUCUAAGGUGGGACUGAUGAUUGGGGUGAAGUCGUAACAAGGUAUCCCUACGGGAACGUGGGGAUG
rnacentral:rRNA from 1 species